CUGGGAACUGGAAUGGUGCAGGC
rnacentral:piRNA from 1 species